rnacentral:rRNA from 1 species
CCCUUAGAUGUUCUGGGCCGCACGCGCGCUACACUGAGUGUCUGAGAUACGAGUCUGCCCGGUCCGGCAAGGUCUAGGUAAUCGCUAAAAGACACAUCAUGCUUGGGAUAGAUUAUUGCAAAUAUUAAUCUUGAACGAGGAAUUCCUAGUAAGCGCAAGUCAACAGCUUGCGUUGAUUACGUCCCUGCCCUUUGUACACACCGCCCGUCGCUACUACUGAUUGGAUGUUUAAGCGAGGUUCUCGAACUGCUAGCGACUUAGCUUCGGUGAGGUCGCAGUGUGGGAAGUGAACCUAGCUUUGGUGUCUAGAGGAAGUAAAAGUCGUAACA